GUCCUCGUGAGCGUCAGCACACUCACUGUAAGUGUUUCAUCUCAUCAGCUGUAUGAAUGUAAUGAACCUGAAAGAUGUUAAUUAGUGAACUAAUUCUUACUAAGUAAAAUCAAUCAGUCAAUCAAUCAGAAAAGGAAAAUAUAACAAAAAGGAAAUAUCGAAAGUAAUAAAAAGAGGAGACGAAAGCUGCACCGCGAGCCGUCGCGAGGAUUCCUAGAGGCUUGUGCGCAUCCGCGCGGCCCGUCGGCCUUCCAUCUCAGAACCGAUUAAACUCGGUGACCGGCGACUUUUCGGUACAUUUAUAAUUACUUUCAUAAUCCAGUCUGGAAGUUUUAAGAAGCGAGUUCUUGCAUUCGCCCUCCUCGCCUUGGCGGGGUGGGGCAGCGCCAGCGAGCCCAAGGUCUCCCUGGCGAGCGUGGCAGGAGUGGGGGGCUUCAGGCAAGGCACCAAUGCGUCCCCCGGUGCCCUGACGGAGGUGCCCGAGAUCUUCCGGCUACAAAGCCGAGCAGUGAGGUUUCAUAACCGUGGCAGGCAAUAUGUCUAAGAAAGCAAACUCCGAACAACAAACCCGGGCAGGUGGGGCUCGUUAGCCGUGGUAGGCAGUUCGCCUAGGAGAGCAAACUCUAAACAAACCCGGGCAGGUGGAGCUCGUUAGCCGGGGUAGGCAGUUCACCUAGGAGAGCGAACUCUAAACAAACCCGGGCAGGUGGAGGUCGUUAGCCGUGGUAGGCAGUUCACCUAGGAGAGCAAACUCUAAACAAACCCGGGCAGGUGGAGCUCGUUAGCCGUGGUAGGCAGUUCACCUAGGAGAGCAAACUCUAAACAAACCCGGGCAGGUGGGGCUCGUUAGCCGUGGUAGGCAGUUCACCUAGGAGAGCAAACUCUAAACAAACCCGGGCAGGUGGGGCUCGUUAGCCGUGGUAGGCAGUUCACCUAGGAGAGCAAACUCCGAACAACAAACCAGGGCAGGUGGGGCUCGUUAGCCGUGGUAGGCAGUUCACCUAGGAGAGCAAACUCUAAACAAACCAGGGCAGGUGGGGCUCGUUAGCCGUGGUAGGCAGUUCACCUAGGAGAGCAAACUCUAAACAAACCAGGGCAGGUGGGGCUCGUUAGCCGUGGUAGGCAGUUCACCUAGGAGAGCAAACUCUAAACAAACCCGGGCAGGUGGAGGUCGUUAGCCGUGGUAGGCAGUUCGCCUAGGAGAGCAAACUCCGAACAACAAACCCGGGCAGGUGGAGUUCGUUAGCCGUGGUAGGCAAUUCACCUAGGAGAGCAAACUCCGAGCAACAAACCCGGGCAGGUGGAGUUCGUUAGCCGUGGUAGGCAAUUCACCUAGGAGAGCAAACUCCGAGCAACAAACCCGGGCUUGUGGUGCCCGUUAGAUGUCGUAGACAAUCCACGUGAUGGGAGCACCAAAUGAAAAAGAACACCAGAAAAAGGAAAAUAUAGAAACGAGACAUUGAGAAAAGAAGAAGCAAACACAGAUCAUCCACCUUUCGGCCUUAACUAACAUCGACAAAAUUAUGGGUGAGUCUUUUCUGGGGAGAAAAGGGCUCAUCCAGACCAAGAAUAUCAACAAGGAAUGAUUUAGAAAAGAACAUCAAGAAAGAAGGAAAAAGAGAGAAAGAAAAGAAAAAAUAUCGAAAAGUAAAAGUAAGCAAUAAAAGAACAACAUCAAGAAAAGAAAAGUACAAAGAAACAUCAUCCACCUUUCGGCCAACACUAACAUCACCAAAAUUAUGGGUGGGUCUCUUCUGGGAGGAAAGAGGCGCACCCAGACCAACUAAGAACAUCAACAAAGAGGAUGAUAUGGAUAAAAGAACAUCACAGAGAAACAUCAAUAAAGAAAAGAGCAGCAAGAAACAUCAUCCACCUUUCGGCCCACACUAACAUCACCAAAAUUAUGGGUGAGUCUCUUCUGGGGAGAAAAAGGCUCAUCCAGACCAAAGAACAUCAACAAGGGAUGCUACAGAAAAGAACAUCAAGAAAGAAUGAAAAAGAGAAAAUGAAAAGGAAAAACAUCAGAAAAGAAAAGUAACAGCAAUAAAAGAACAUCACGAAAAGAAAAAUAUAAAAAAAACA